rnacentral:rRNA from 1 species
CAGCAGCCGCGGUAAUACGAAGGGGGCUAGCGUUGUUCGGAUUUACUGGGCGUAAAGCGCACGUAGGCGGACAUUUAAGUCAGGGGUGAAAUCCCAGAGCUCAACUCUGGAACUGCCUUUGAUACUGGGUGUCUGGAGUAUGGAAGAGGUAAGUGGAAUUCCGAGUGUAGAGGUGAAAUUCGUAGAUAUUCGGAGGAACACCAGUGGCGAAGGCGGCUUACCGGUCCAUUACUGACGUUGAGGUGCGAAAGCGUGGGGAGCAAACAGGAUUAGAUACCCCUGUAGUCCCUGUCUCUUAUAC